ensembl:lncRNA
CGGGAGCCGGGAGCCGCAGCGACGACGCUGGGAGCUCAGAGCUAUGCGUCCGGGGUCUCGGAGAGCUCGAGGGUCGCCCACGUGGGGGCUGCUGCUGCUACUGGGACUAUCGUGGCCCGUGUGGGGGACGAAGAAGUUUCAAGGAAACACCCUUGGAAAGCCAGUCGUUCUGCAUUGGAGCCUAGAUGGACGACCCCAGCGCAUGGUCACCCUGGAGGAGCCGGUCCCAAAGCUAGAAGUGAGGCUGGUGGCCUUGGAGGCUGAAGGUCAAGAGCUCCUGCUAGAGCUGGAGAAGAAUCACCCCAGGCACAUCUUGUCAGCUUCCUGCCACAAAUGAGUGAGCAUCACCCUCUGGGUGCUCACAGGGUGUGGUGAGUCAAAAGAGAAUCCAAGAUGGACUCCAAGAAUGGGCAGGUGGUCCAGAAGGCGGGAAUGCCAGGCACAAAAGUACAGUGACUACAGAGCAAAGGUCAAGGCACAUUCAGGGGGUAGCAAUUUGUCUGGCUUGCCUGGGGAGUCUCCUUCUAUAGGGAAGGGAGCAAAGAGAAACAAAUUUGGGGAGUCCUAGUAGGGCCAGAUUACAGAAGGCCAUUUUGGUGCUGAGUGUCCAGGAUAGUGCAAAGCCAAAGAUUUUGAGCUGUGAAUGAACAAGCAGAGCUGGGCUGGGUGAGGUGAGUGUCUAAGAUGGAGAGUGGGUUCUUGAAACCAUCUAGAUUGUAUUACCGACAUCUCUUAUUUUCAAUUGCUUGUUUCAUCACAGGCACUGUUCUGAGCAUCCUACAUACACAUUUUUUUUAUUCUCCCCCAUGCGCUGAGAACAAACUUAGGUUCCACCAUGCCUAACUACAGUUUCUCUGCGGUUCAAUAUCCCCAUAUGUUAAAAGAGGUGAUCACAUCACCUCCUCCCUAGGUUUGAGUGUGUGGGUGCAGUGGGGGAGCGAAGCUGGAG